AAAAAAAAAGGCCUGAGGAAAGGAAAGAAUGAUAGGCCAGAAUACUCGCAUGGUGUAAGGAUGCGCAAGUUUAGCACUUGGACACUACACAUUGAUGUCUGAAGUCCGGUGAUUCUAAGGCCAUGAAGGCGGCUUCUGAAUUGCCACCCUCACUGAGUCUUUAAUUUGACGGACGAUUUGGCAUGUUUUCAAAGCCCAGAGGAACGUCAUUGCCAAGACACCACUCUCCUGACUCCACACAGCUGAUCUCAGCUUCGCAUCAUUUCAUUUGAUCUUCAUAUUUCCUCAAGUUACCGAGAGACAAACUGUUUUUAGAAGAAGUAAUUUACAUUAAGGGGUUAAAUCCUGGGUAUAUUCUCAGGAAUGAUUACUGGGUCAUACAGUCGUUCUGUUUUUAGUUUUUGAGGAACUUCCAGACUAUUUUCCGUAAUAGACAUACUAAUUUACAUUCUCACCAAUGGUGUAAAAGAGUUCUAUUUUUUCAGCUUCCUCUUCAUCACUGUUGUAUUUCAUCUUUUUCAUAAAAGCUACUUUAACAGGUG
rnacentral:lncRNA from 10 species